rnacentral:tRNA from 1 species
GGAAGAGUGGCAGAGCGGCGAAUGCAGCGCGGUGCUAACGCGUCGAUCACAGAAAUGGGGUCCGUGGGUUCGAGUCCCACCUCUUCCG